rnacentral:rRNA from 1 species
UGGAAUUGCUAGUAAUCGUGGAUCAGCAUGCCACGGUGAAUACGUUCCCGGGUCUUGUACACACCGCCCGUCACACCAUGGGAGCCGGUAAUACCCGAAGUCAGUAGUCUAACCGCAAGGAGGACGCUGCCGAAGGUAGGAUUGGCGACUGGGGUGAAGUCGUAACAAGGUACC